UACGUAGGGUGCAAGCGUUGUCCGGAAUUAUUGGGCGUAAAGCGCGUGUAGGCGGUUCGGUAAGGCGGAUGUGAAAUCCCGGGGCUCAACCCCGGGCCGGCAUCCGCGACUGCCGGGCUGGAGUGUGGGAGGGGAGAGCGGAAUUCCUGGUGUAGCGGUGAAAUGCGUAGAUAUCAGGAGGAACACCGGUGGCGAAGGCGGCUCUCUGGACCAUAACUGACGCUGAGACGCGAAAGUCAGGGGAGCAAACAGG
rnacentral:rRNA from 1 species